rnacentral:rRNA from 1 species
UACGUAGGUGGCGAGCGUUGUCCGGAUUUACUGGGCGUAAAGCGCGUGCAGGUGGUUUGUUAAGUCCGGUGUGAAAGCUCCCGGCUCAACUGGGAGAGGUCAUCGGAUACUGGCAGACUUGAGGGAGGCAGAGGUCGGUGGAAUUCCCGGUGUAGUGGUGAAAUACGUAGAGAUCGGGAGGAACACCAGUGGCGAAAGCGGCCGACUGGGCCUUACCUGACGCUGAGGAGCGAAAGCGUGGGGAGCGAACAGG